rnacentral:rRNA from 1 species
AGUGAACGCUGGCGGCAGGCCUAAUACAUGCAAGUCGAACGGCAGCACAGUGGAGCUUGCUCCAUGGGUGGCGAGUGGCGGACGGGUGAGGAAUACAUGGGAAUCUGCCCAGUCGUGGGGGAUAACGUAGGGAAACUUACGCUAAUACCGCAUGCGCCCUUCGGGGGAAAGCCGGGGACCUUCGGGCCUGGCGCGAUUGGAUGAGCCCAUGUUCGAUUAGCUAGUUGGCGGGGUAAAGGCCCACCAAGGCGACGAUCGAUAGCUGGUCUGAGAGGAUGAUCAGCCACACUGGGACUGAGACACGGCCCAGACUCCUACGGGAGGUAGCAGUAGGGAAUAUUGGACAAUGGGCGCAAGCCUGAUCCAGCCAUGCCGCGUGAGUGAAGAAGGCCCUCGGGUUGCAAAGCUCUUUUGUCCGGGAAGAAAAGCAUCGGGCUAAUACCUCGGUGUUCUGACGGUACCGGAAGAAUAAGCACCGGCUAACUUCGUG